GACGAACGCUGGCGGCGUGCUUAACACAUGCAAGUCGAACGAAGUGGCGCACGGGUGAGUAACGCGUAAUCAACCUGCCCUUCAGAGGGGGACAACAGUUGGAAACGACUGCUAAUACCGCAUACUGAAGGAGGGGAUUGCGGCUGAUUAGCUAGUUGGAGGGGUAAAGGCCCACCAAGGCGAUGAUCAGUAGCCGGUCUGAGAGGAUGACCGGCAACAUUGGGACUGAGACACGGCCCAGACUCAUACGGGAGGCAGCAGUGGGGAAUUUUUCGCAAUGGACGAAAGUCUGACGGAGCAACGCCGCGUGAGUGAUGACGGCCGUCGGGUUGUAAAGCUCUGUUAAUCGGGACGCGGUACCGGAAUAGAAAGCCACGGCUAACUACGUGCCAGCAGCCGCGGUAAUAC
rnacentral:rRNA from 1 species